GACGAACGCUGGCGGCGUGCUUAACACAUGCAAGUCGAACGGGAAGGCCCUGCUUUUGUGGGGUGCUCGAGUGGCGAACGGGUGAGUAACACGUGAGUAACCUGCCCUUGACUUUGGGAUAACUUCAGGAAACUGGGGCUAAUACCGGAUAGGAGCUCCUGCUGCAUGGUGGGGGUUGGAAAGUUUCGGCGGUUGGGGAUGGACUCGCGGCUUAUCAGCUUGUUGGUGGGGUAGUGGCUUACCGAGGCUUUGACGGGUAGCCGGCCUGAGAGGGUGACCGGCCACAUUGGGACUGAGAUACGGCCCAGACUCCUACGGGAGGCAGCAGUGGGGAAUAUUGCACAAUGGGCGGAAGCCUGAUGCAGCAACGCCGCGUGCGGGAUGACGGCCUUCGGGUUGUAAACCGCUUUCGCCUGUGACGAAGCGUGAGUGACGGUAAUGGGUAAAGAAGCACCGGCUAACUACGUG
rnacentral:rRNA from 1 species